rnacentral:tRNA from 1 species
GGGGCUGUGGCUCAGGGAUAGACCCUCUGUCUUCCAUGCAGAAGGUUGCGGGUUCAAUCCCCAAUGUCAUGCCCCC